rnacentral:rRNA from 1 species
UACGGGGGGGGCAAGCGUUGUGCGGAAUUACUGGGCGUAAAGGGCUCGUAGGCGGCCAACUAAGUCAGACGUGAAAUCCCUCGGCUUAACCGGGGAACUGCGUCUGAUACUGGAUGGCUUGAGAUUGGGAGAGGGAUGCGGAAUUCCAGGUGUAGCGGUGAAAUGCGUAGAUAUCUGGAGGAACACCGGUGGCGAAGGCGGCAUCCUGGACCAACACUGACGCUGAUGAGCGAAAGCCAGGGGAGCAAACGGG